GUGCCUGGGAGGCAGGCUUGGCAUCACCCUCUCUGGGUGGGGCUGGUUGCCGGCCUGACCGUGUCCACGCUCCCUGCAGUGAGUUCCAUAGAGUUGGCCUUGAUGGCAUCUGGCGACAGUUCCGCAUUCAACAGGAGCUCCGCCACGAUGCUGGUGUACUGUUGAGGGCGGCUGAAGGCCAGUUCCUGAUAGAUUUUCUGGAUACAGUUGUCGCCUAUCCGGGGAGCGGGAGGCAGCCCUCAGACUUUGGUGCUGGGAGACAUCCUUCAGUGUCCUCCUCCUGCCCAGACUGCCCCGACACCCAAGUCUCCCUGCUCUCAUCCCAAAUUCUCCGGAUCAGCCCAGCCCAGCCCCAGCCUCGCACCAAUCUCCCUGGCAGGAAGGUGACUGACUCCAAGCAUCAGCCUCUCCCUGCCCACCUGACCAGGCGCCACCCUCUGCACGGGCCAGGAAACAUCCUCCCCAGUGCCAUCAACCGCCCCACCUCGUGCCUUGCUUCUGAGAACAAUGGAGCCACCAGCCACCUGCAUCCCCACCUGCCUCCUGCCCCGGACUGUCCCCAUCAGGAAGGUUUGCCAGGACUGCAGGGACCCUGAGCGCCCUGAGGGAGGCUGCGGCCCCGGCGAACACCAGGCUCAGUACUCAGCCUGUGACCUGGGCCAGUGGGAGUACCCUUCUCAGGGCCUCAGUUUUCUGACCUAUGGGAAGGACAGUCCCCAGACCGCAAGAGAAAGCAUCGGCCAAGGUUGGUGCAGAGCGGGUUCUCACUACACAGAAGGGCUCAUUGCUCUGCAUCUUCUCUGCAGAGGUGCCCGUGCCCAUUUCUCCACCACCGCCCUGCUUCCCCAACCCACAGGGCAGACACGACCCCACGGAAUGGCCGUCCUCUGGGUCGGGUGCUC
rnacentral:lncRNA from 1 species